UAUGAGUCUUUUUUUCUGUUUCCCUUCCAUUUCCCAUUCCCCUUUCAUCCGUCCUCCAUCCUCCUCAGUCCUCACAUCUUCUACCCUCUCAUCUUUCACUUUCAUUCACUCUCUCUGAUCCCUUUCAUUUCCUGAUGAGCACAAUAUGUGUGUAUAAGGCUGAGUAACGCUUUACAAGUUACAACCGAAUGUAAUUAAGUUUGCAAAUGCCAAAUUGCAAUAAGCUGGAAAGUUUCUAAAUACGAAAUAAUGGGGUGACAAAAGUAUGUCGCAAACAAACAGAAAUCAACUCCGGGAAAGCGUGACUGCGAAAUUGGAACUUGGAACUUGGAACAGUCAUGUGCCGAUUUGCGUGUGCCAUUGUAUACAGACAACCAAGAAAUAUAAGGCAGCAACUAGCAAUAAGCAACAACUGAUCCACACGAAUGAAGAGGAUGGCAACGACAAAAGGGAAAAACAUUGACAUCUCACUCUGAAACGGUUGAUGCUCAUUUUUCUGAAAUAUAGUUUUUAACUAACCUGGUACACUCUUUGAAAUUGUUAUGGUUUUUCGUUUUAUAGAUUGCAGCAGAAAAUAUAAGUCCUGUCGUGCUUAAGGAUAGUACAAAUCCGAUGCUUUAUUUGUUCUAUUCUUGACCAGUAGCAAGAAAGAGAACUGGCAGGAUCAAGAUAAGCAAAAUGAAGAAUUGAAGUAUCAACUCAUGAUAUCGAGGUCGUUAGAAAAAUAUAUGCAUAUGACGGAUGGACUAAAGAUGGAUCGGAGAAGAGAUAAUCAGUCUCCACAACAAAACUCCGGGUUGGAAGUCUUGACAAAUUGGCAUAUAUGGACAAGGAAGGUGCAUGCAUAUGGCGAGAUGACAGAAGAUGGAGACUAGAUAUAUGACUAUUAGGUCUAGUAUCAGAUUAUCAUAUGAAUACGUUGCUUGUUGGAAAGUUUUGAUUUUAUAUAGUACAUAAUUUUUUUUUCAUUAGGUUUUUGAAAAUAUAGCACUAAUCGGUGUAUUAAACUAAAUCAUUAUUGUAAUAUUACAUAUAUCAAUUUCUUAUA